GUGCGUAACGCGUAUGCAACCUACCUUUCACAGGGGGAUAGCCCGAAGAAAUUUGGAUUAAUACCCCAUAAUAUUAUUGGAUGGCAUCAUUUGAUAAUUAAAACUGCGGUGGUGAAAGAUGGGCAUGCGUCCUAUUAGCUAGUUGGAGUGGUAACGGCACCCCAAGGCUACGAUAGGUAGGGGUCCUGAGAGGGAGAUCCCCCACACUGGUACUGAGACAGGGACCAGACUCCUACGGGAGGCAGCAGUGAGGAAUAUUGGUCAAUGGUCGGAAGACUGAACCAGCCAUGCCGCGUGCAGGAAGAAUGCCUUAUGGGUUGUAAA
rnacentral:rRNA from 1 species